UACGUAGGGGGCAAGCGUUGUCCGGAAUCAUUGGGCGUAAAGCGCGUGUAGGCGGUUCAGUAAGUCUGGUGUGAAAGUCCAGGGCUCAACCCUGGGAUGCCGGUGGAUACUGCUGGACUAGAGUGCGGAAGAGGCGAGUGGAAUUCCCGGUGUAGCGGUGAAAUGCGCAGAUAUCGGGAGGAACACCAAUUGCGAAGGCAGCUCGCUGGGACGUUACUGACGCUGAGACGCGAAAGCGUGGGGAGCAAACAGG
rnacentral:rRNA from 1 species